GGCUGUUUGGUGUCCACGCAGGGGCUGAUGGGAGGUGGGAGGGGCCAUUAAAAAGCAGGAGGCCCCGUUGCUUCGUCCUCCUCUUCAUCAGAUGCUGCUUCUCCAGGUUCACCAGAGGAAACGCCACAGAAUGCAUCUCCUGCUGCCGGCCGCUCUGUGCUGUCUGUGUUCAGCGCUGGUCACCACGGCAACACAGCUGACCCAGGACAAGUUGUUCCUGAGCAGAGGAGUGGAGAAAUCAGUUCCAGUGAGCUGUGGUGGGACAGAGCAGUGUGAUGAUAAAAAGCUUUACUGGUUCCAGAAGAAAGACGGACAACCAUUCCAAACCAUCAUCCAGUACAACUUAGAAAGUGAAAAAUCCCAACCAUCCUACAGCCAUCCUGACAAAGACGACUUCAGCGUCUGGAAGACAGACAGUGGUUGUGAACUGAGGAUAGCGACGGCAAAAGCUGCCCAUUCAGCCACCUACUACUGCGCCUGUUAUAAAGAAGUUCCCCACAGUGAGAAAGAACGGCGCUAACCCGAACAAAAACCUCCAGAUAUUCAACAGGAAGAAAAACCACAAUCACAUAUUCAAAACCACCAAUCAAACCACCAGACUGUACAAAAGGAUUUUGUAAAAAUAUAUCUGUUGAAUAUUUUGUUGGUUCGCUAGAAAAUGGAUGAGUGACAAACUGCCCACAUUAUUAGACUGGAUAGAACUUAUGAAAGAAAUGUCCCUGAUGGAGAAACUCAUAUUUGCUUUGAGACUAGAACACGACAAAUUUGAGGAAUACUGGAAACCAUGGAUGGACUUUAUGAACACUCAAAAGGAACACACUGUGACACCCACUGUUGUUUAACUACUAUAUUACUGUUGUUUGUAUCAUUAUUAUUAUUAUUAUUAUUAUUAUUAUUAUUAUUAUUAUUAUUA